ensembl:lncRNA
AGAACAGACUGGUCCUACCCCAGAACAGACUGGUCCUACCCCAGAACAGACUGGUCCAGAACAGACUGGUCCUACCCCAGAACAGACUGGUCCAGAACAGACUGGUCCUACCCCAGAACAGACUGGUCCUAUCCCAGAACGGACAGAGAUGUCAGUUACUGGGUCUACCACAGAACAACAGACAGAACCACAUACAGCACCACAGACAGAACCACAGACAGAACCACAUACAGAACCACGGACAGAGAUGUCAGUUACUGGGUCUACCACAGAACCACAGACAGAACCACAGACAGAACCACAGACAGAACCACAGACAGAUCAACAUACAGAACCACGGACAGAGAUGUCAGUUACUGGGUCCACCACGGAACCACAGACAGAACCACAGACAGGCUGGUUGGCUGCUCUCAGAUCCCUCUCUCAGUCCGACCAACAGAACACAGUACAGAGAACUCCAGAACCCAGACCCUUCCAGCGUCUGGAGCCUUUGGAGUCUCCUGUAGCAGAGUUUCAUACCCUCUCUGAAGAGACAGCCACCCCUCUGGGCCAGAGAGAAGACACACUAGCGAAGGAAGAGGAGCUACCAGGACAGGAGAAGACCAUUCCUCUACCAGGACAGGAGCUACCAGGACAGGAGAAGACCAUUCCUCUACCAGGACAGGAGAAGACCAUUCCUCUACCAGGACAGGAGCUACCAGGACAGGAGAAGACCAUUCCUCUACCAGGACAGGAGCUACCAGGACAGGAGAAGAC